rnacentral:rRNA from 1 species
GAAGUAAAAGUCGUAACAAGGUUUCCGUAGGUGAACCUGCGGAAGGAUCAUUAAUGAAAUAAACCUGAUAAGUUGCUGCUGGUUCUCUAGGGAGCAAUGUGCACACUUGUCAUCUUUGUAUCUUCACCUGUGCACCUUUUGUAGAUCUGACUAUCUCUCUGAAUGCUUUAUUAGUACUCAGGAUUGAGAAUUGACUUUUGUCUCUUCUUAUAUUUUCAGGUCUAUGUUUCUUCAUCUACCCCAAUGUAUGUUUAUAGAAUGUAAUUAAUGGGCCUUUGUGCCUAUAAACUUUUACAACUUUCAGCAACGGAUCUCUUGGCUCUCGCAUCGAUGAAGAACGCAGCGAAAUGCGAUAAGUAAUGUGAAUUGCAGAAUUCAGUGAAUCAUCGAAUCUUUGAACGCACCUUGCGCUCCUUGGUAUUCCGAGGAGCAUGCCUGUUUGAGUGUCAUUAAUAAUAUCAACCUUUUUGGUUGGAUUUGGGUUUGCUGGACUCUUGAGGUCAGCUCCCCUUAAAUGCAUUAGCGGACAACAUUUUGCUAUCUGUUCAUUAGUGUGAUAAUUAUCUACGCUAUUGAUGUGAAGGCAAGGUUCAGCUUCUAAUAGUCCAUUGACUUGGACAAGCCUCUUUUUAUUAAUGUGACCUCAAAUCAGGUAGGACUACCCGCUGAACUUAAGCAUAUCAAUAAGCGGAGGAA